GCAGUCGCACGAGAACGCUUUCAGCUUUGCUGGAGCUAGUAAAGUGGCGUACGGGUGUAGUAACGCGUGGGUAAUCUAUCUCCGAAUUGGGGAUAACAUUGCGAAAGCGAUGCUAAUACCGGAUAAAAUCCAUUAAACCUCGGUUUUUUUGGAUCAAAGGUGGCCUCUACAUGUAAGCUACUGUUUGGAGACGAGCUCGCGUACCAUUAGCUUGUUGGUAGGGUAAUGGCCUACCAAGGCAACGAUGGUUAGCUGGUCUGAGAGGAUGAUCAGCCACACUGGAACUGACACACGGUCCAGACUCCUACGGGAGGCAGCAGUGAGGAAUUUUGCGCAAUGGGGGAAACCCUGACGCAGCAACGCCGCGUGAGUGAUGAAGGCUUUCGGGUCGUAAAACUCUGUCAAGUGGGAAGAACCCGUGCCGUACAAAUAGUGCGGUGCGCUGACGGUACCACUGAAGGAAGCACCGGCUAACUCCGUGCCAGCAGCCGCGGUAAUACGGGGGGUGCAAGCGUUAUUCGGAAUCAUUGGGCGUAAAGAGCGCGUAGGCGGUCUUCUAUGUCAGGUGUGAAAGCCCGGGGCUCAACCCCGGAAGUGCAUUUGAAACUGGGAGACUUGAGUAUGGGAGAGGGAAGUGGAAUUCCUGGUGUAGCGGUGAAAUGCGUAGAUAUCAGGAGGAACACCGGUGGCGAAGGCGACUUCCUGGACCAAUACUGACGCUGAGGCGCGAAGGCGUGGGGAGCAAACAGGAUUAGAUACCCUGGUAGUCCACGCAGUAA
rnacentral:rRNA from 1 species